UACGAAGGGGGCUAGCGUUGUUCGGAAUUACUGGGCGUAAAGCGCACGUAGGCGGCUUUGCAAGUUAGAGGUGAAAGCCCGGAGCUCAACUCCGGAAUUGCCUUUAAAACUGCAUCGCUAGAAUUGUGGAGAGGUGAGUGGAAUUCCGAGUGUAGAGGUGAAAUUCGUAGAUAUUCGGAAGAACACCAGUGGCGAAGGCGACUCACUGGACACAUAUUGACGCUGAGGUGCGAAAGCGUGGGGAGCAAACAGG
rnacentral:rRNA from 1 species